rnacentral:rRNA from 1 species
GUGGGGAAUAUUGGACAAUGGGCGGAAGCCUGAUCCAGCCAUGCCGCGUGUGUGAAGAAGGCCUUUUGGUUGUAAAGCACUUUAAGCGAGGAGGAGGCUCUUAAGGUUAAUACCCUUGAUGAGUGGACGUUACUCGCAGAAUAAGCACCGGCUAACUCUGUGCCAGCAGCCGCGGUAAUACAGAGGGUGCGAGCGUUAAUCGGAUUUACUGGGCGUAAAGCGUGCGUAGGCGGCUGAUUAAGUCGGAUGUGAAAUCCCUGAGCUUAACUUAGGAAUUGCAUUCGAUACUGGUCAGCUAGAGUAUGGGAGAGGAUGGUAGAAUUCCAGGUGUAGCGGUGAAAUGCGUAGAGAUCUGGAGGAAUACCGAUGGCGAAGGCAGCCAUCUGGCCUAAUACUGACGCUGAGGUACGAAAGCAUGGGGAGCAAACAGGAUUAGAUACCCUAGUAGUCC